ACGUGUCUUGCUUUGAUGCUUUCUCUCUCUCCUAGAUUUUGAAAAUCAAGUCUGAUUUCAAAGUCUUCAAAUGUCCUUUUUCUUUUGAUUCACAACAUCUGGACACAUAUAGUUAGAGAGAGGGAGAGAGAGCCAGAAGAAAGAUGGCAGUGGCCGACAUGGUGGUGCACGGCGACGACCAUGGCGGCAUGAGGGUGUCUGGCAGUAGCAUCUGCGGCUUGAGGGUGUUUGGCAGUCGCAUGCCGCCGGUUGCUCCUUGGCUGUGGGGUGUGCUCCGGUGACCAAGUUCGCCGCCGGCAGUGAUGCCGCCGGUUGCUCCUCCCCCUUCUGCCUCCGUCUCUGGUGAAAACUUGAUUUAGAGAAGGUCAAUCUGAAUGUUGAUUUUUGUGGUUGAAAACUUUGAUUUAGAGAAACUGUGGUGAGUAGUGGGUUACAGAUCUGUAUCGACGGUAUAGAGCGUAUGUUGGCUUCGGUGAUGGUGGUUAAUAUGUGUGACAAUGACGGUGGUUAUGGCGCGUGACGGUGAUGAUGUUGUCAUGGUGUAACGGUGGUGAUGGUCACUGUGGUGAGGGAGCCGCUUCCGCCACCGCCAAACCCUCUUGUUAUCCUUGGCGGAAUGGCUCCGAUAGCUCUCCGGUUGUCUUAUCCUUGGUCUCCGGUUAGUCGAGACCUAUUAUUUUACAGGGAGAGGCAAGGUUUGCAGACACAAGAGAAAAAAACUGAUUGCAGAGAUCAAGAAGAGCGCCAAACAAGGCCAAAUGGGAGCUGUUAAGGUGAUGGCAAAAGAUCUCAUUAGAACACGACAUCAGAUCGAGAAGUUUUACAAGCUUAAGUUCCAACUGCAGGGUGUUUCAUACAUCCUUGAUAUAUAGGUUAGGCGAUGUGACUAUGGAAGAAUGAUGUAAUCAAAUACUUGUGGCCUCCCGGCCGCAACGCGGCGGGGCUUUAAAUCUAGUUACAAUAAUAAACCAAAUGUUA
rnacentral:lncRNA from 1 species